GUGGUCAAGAAAUCACAAGAAAUAUAUAUUGUUUUAGGCAAUGGUUACAAGGAGAGUCUAUUUUCUUACUGUAUAAAGUACAUACAGAAGCAAACUGUCGUCUGUUCGUCUUUGCGCAUGCAGCAGAGUGUUUACACCUCAAGAUCUUGGAAGAUCCUGGAAGACCACCGCAGCUGCCAAGAUCUUGGCUUGAUUUUGUAGUAUAUGUAGACGGUACAAGCUCACUUGGUUUACACAAGUUGUUCCGUAAUUUCUUGCCAUGUAGAACCCCAAGAUCUUUGUCAACUUUACUGAAAUUUACUCUUGAGUUAACAGAUGCCAUCAAGAAAUGCUGAACGUCUAAGAACAGCAAGAUAUUCCAAGUUCUUACCAAGAAUGUAUACAAGCAUUGAUUUAUACUUUCAAACUGUAACAAUUAUGGCCUGUAUAGUCUAGCUAUGUGUAGUGAAGACAAAUGUAUGAUGUAUAGACUUACAUGCUGUUGCUCAUACAGAUAGACUGGCAUUUUUACUGUUCUAAAAAUUUUAGAGCACAUAUACAGUAUAUUGCAGCUAGAUACUACUAGUAAAGUUGUAGCGUUAAAUUAUUAAUAUCAAAUA